rnacentral:rRNA from 1 species
CAGUCGCCGCGGUAAUACGAAGGGUGCAAGCGUUACUCGGAAUUACUGGGCGUAAAGCGCACGUAGGCGGCUUGGUAAGUUAGAGGUGAAAGCCUGGAGCUCAACUCCAGAAUUGCCUUUAAGACUGCCGAGCUAGCAGGUGAGAGAGGUAAGUGGAAUUCCGAGUGUAGAGGUGAAAUUCGUAGAUAUUCGGAAGAACACCAGUGGCGAAGGCGGCUUACUGGCUCAUACUGGACGCUGAGGUGCGAAAGCGUGGGGAGCAAACAGGAUUAGAUACCCCAGUAGUCCCUGUCUCUUAUAC